UACAGAGGGUGCUAGCGUUGUUCGGAAUCAUUGGGCGUAAAGGGCGUGUAGGCGGUUUGUUAAGUCAUGUGUGAAAUCCCUCGGCUCAACCGGGGAACGACGCAUGAAACUGGCAAGCUAGAGUACCAAAGAGGGGGGUGGAAUUCCCGGGGUAGCGGUGAAAUGCGUAGAUAUCCGGAAGAACACCGGUGGCGAAGGCGGCCUGCUGGGCAGUGGCUGACGCUGAUGCGCGACAGCGUGGGGAGCAAACAGG
rnacentral:rRNA from 1 species